GUUUGUUGGUCAACCCUUCCCGGCCUAACUAUAAUGUGAAUUAUAGGCUCACAUCAAAAGAGUAUACACCACUGUAUGCUGAAAGUUCCUAAAGCCUUACGUACUUUAACUUUAAGUAAAGUAACAAUCGUAAUGGAUGAUUUCUACAAAUGAAAUGGAUAAUUAGCAGGAAACCAUUUUCCAUAUUCACUGGAACAGUAGGAUCCUCAGAGACUAUACGUGGUGCAACUUACUCUAGUCAAUUACUUAGUAAGUUGAAGAUAUAGUCCAGCAUUGAAUGAAAGUUCAAU
rnacentral:ncRNA from 1 species